rnacentral:misc_RNA from 1 species
UGGUUCUGGCAUCGAUGAAGAACGCAGCGAAAUGCGAUAAGUAAUGUGAAUUGCAGAAUUCAGUGAAUCAUCGAAUCUUUGAACGCACAUUGCGCCCGCCAGCAUUCUGGCGGGCAUGCCUGUUCGAGCGUCAUUACAACCCUCGAGCUCCCCCUGGGGAGCCCGGCGCUGGGGAUCGGCAGCCUCUGCCCGCCGUCCCCCAAAUCCAGUGGCGGCCCGUCCGCGGCGACCUCUGCGUAGUAGCUAUACCCCGCACCGGAAACCCGACGUGGCCACGCCGUAAAACCCCCCAACUUCUGAACGUUGACCUCGAAUCAGGUAGGACUACCCGCUGA